UUCGUGAAGCCAUUGGACAUUACCUAACGUUCCCUUGUUGGCUGAUCUGCACCCGAACCACCAAUACGCCGUCGCUCUAGGGAAUGCUGGAUCAGCAACAUCCACCUACACAACGUUUAACAUAGCUUAAUCAAAGUUUGCACAUCCAAGAGGCAGGAGACGCCCAUGGGGAAAGACGCAACACUAGUCACCAAAAAUUGUAUCUCGGUAACGAUCGAAAUUCUUUCACAGGAUAAACUUGUUUUCUCAUAACGAAAACCCAUGACGACGAGGUAAAAUCGUCGGUGGAAUUCAAGGAUUCGUAUCGUCAUUGAAGCGGCAAGUAAUAUUGCGUGGGCGGUGAUAAAGACGAUCGGUCUGGCGAAUGAUCGCGAACCCAGACACGUGUACGAUUCAACGUGAUCUAAUUGAUCUCGCGGAAGUUUAACAUCGUGUCUCAUGUUGGAACAUUGGUUUUCUUAAUGAUGGAGAUUCGUCGUUUUAUUCAUUUAUUAACGUACGUCUGACGUACUUAGAUUGAAAACGAUUUUCGUAAUUAACUGGAAUAUAAUUGACUUUUUGUGAAGGAACUUGUAAGUAGAAUAAUCGUAUAUAUCGAAUUACAUAUUCCAGCAGAGAAAAUUAUAACCAUGAUCGAGUAAAUUACAACUAGGCGUACACCUGUUUUUCAGGUUGAAAAUCUACCUCAACGAACAGCAGAAUGUUUUGUGUAAGAAAAUGAUUUUCUACAGAUUUUUACGGGUUUGUAAUAUAAUUCUGCAUUCUUCUAUUGAUCUUUGUUGCUAUUAGAGUUUGAGUUCGAAGCUUGUUAAAUUAGUAAUUAUUUUCUCCAACAUCACAAGUAGGCAGAGAUACCAAAAAGGAAAAAAAUGUAUAUUUCGAGUUUUAAGUUGAGUUACUCAAGAGCAAUUAAUCACUGUUUGUUACAUUCGACAUCACAGAUAAUAUAGACAUUUAUUAUCGAUGAAACAUCCUAUAUAAUAAUAAUAAUUUUGCACAAGAUAAAGAUAAAUUGACCACAAUGUCCCUUUCUGUUUUAUGACGAACAAAUUCUUCAAGGCAACGUGACGAAUCGUGGGUGUGUUUAAUCGCAUUAGUACUCAAGCAUUCUAUUGUAUCGCCAUAAUUCUUCAAUAUCUCUUACGUACAAGAUACGACAUUACUUUAACUCAUACGUAAAUUAGCAACUUUAAAAAUCGUACUAAAAAUACUACAUUUUUAUGUCUUUCAAGAACACACACCCACACACAGAAAAUAGCAUAUUACAAUUAACAAUUUUUUCAUAACAAUGUCCUGUUCCUUUCACAAAGCGUAACAUCAUUUAAUUUACAACACUGAAACAACUCGUAAAUAAACGUGCCG